rnacentral:rRNA from 1 species
GAAUUCGCCCUUAGAGUUUCUUUUUGGCUCAGGACGAACGCUGGCGGCAUGCCUAACACAUGCAAGUCGAACGGAGAUAGACGCUGAUGACGCUUCGGUUGAUUCUUGUCUAUCUUAGUGGCGGACGGGCGAGUAACGCGUGAGCAACCUGCCCUUCAGUGGGGGACAACAGUUGGAAACGACUGCUAAUACCGCAUAAUGUCACGAGGCCGCAUGACCUUGUGACCAAAGGAUUUAUUCGCUGAAGGAUGGGCUCGCGUCUGAUUAGCUAGUUGGUGAGGUAACGGCUCACCAAGGCGACGAUCAGUAGCCGGUCUGAGAGGAUGAACGGCCACAUUGGGACUGAGAUACGGCCCAGACUCCUACGGGAGGCAGCAGUGGGGAAUAUUGGGCAAUGGGCGAAAGCCUGACCCAGCAACGCCGCGUGAAGGAAGAAGGCCUUCGGGUUGGAAACUUCUUUUACCAGGGACGAAUAAUGACGGUACCUGGAGAAAAAGCAACGGCUAACUACGUGCCAGCAGCCGCGGUAAUAUGUAGGUUGCAAGCGUUGUCCGGAUUUACUGGGUGUAAAGGGCGUGUAGGCGGAGAUGCAAGUUGGGAGUGAAAUCCCGGGGCUCAACCCCGGAACUGCUUUCAAAACUGUAUCCCUUGAGUGUCGGAGAGGCAAGCGGAAUUCCUAGUGUAGCGGUGAAAUGCGUAGAUAUUAGGAGGAACACCAGUGGCGAAGGCGGCUUGCUGGACGAUAACUGACGCUGAGGCGCGAAAGCGUGGGGAGCAAACAGGAUUAGAUACCCUGGUAGUCCACGCUGUAAAC